rnacentral:RNase_P_RNA from 1 species
UCAGCGGGCCGGGUGGCCGCUGCGGUUUCGACCGUAGAGGAAAGUCCGGACUCCACCGGGCAGGGUGCCAGGUAACGCCUGGGCGGCGUAAGCCGACGGAAAGUGCAACAGAAACAUACCGCCUGCCGGGGCCUCGCGGCCCGGGCAGGUAAGGGUGAAAUGGUGCGGUAAGAGCGCACCGGCGUCCUGGUAACAGGGCGGCCGGGCAAACCCCACCCGGAGCAAGGCCAAAUAGGGGAGGAGGGCGCCCGGCCCGUUACUACUCCCGGGUUGGCCGCUAGAGCGCCGCGGCGACGCGGCGUCGAGAGAGAUGGCCGCCCCCGCCCGGUGAUCCGGGCGGGACAGAAUCCGGCUUACAGGCCCGCUGAACCA